UACGAAGGGGGCUAGCGUUGUUCGGAAUCACUGGGCGUAAAGCGCACGUAGGCGGAUCUUUAAGUCAGGGGUGAAAUUCCGAGGCUCAACCUCGGAACUGCCUUUGAUACUGGCGAUCUCGAGUCCGGGAGAGGUGAGUGGAACUGCGAGUGUAGAGGUGAAAUUCGUAGAUAUUCGCAAGAACACCAGUGGCGAAGGCGGACUCACUGGCCCGGUACUGACGCUGAGGUGCGAAAGCGUGGGGAGCAACAGG
rnacentral:rRNA from 1 species